AACGAACGCUGGCGGCAGGCCUAACACAUGCAAGUCGAGCGCCCGCAAGGGAGAGGCGGUCGGGUGAGUAACGCGUGGGAACGUGCCCUUUGCUACGGAGUAGCCGCGGGAAACACAGAGUAAUACCGUAUGGGCCCUUCGGGGCAAAGAUUUAUCGGGAAAGGAUCGGGACGCGUUGGAUUAGGGAGUUGUGGGGGUAAUGGCCUACCCAGCUGACGAUCGAUAGCUGGUUUGAGAGGAUGAUCAGCCACACUGGGACUGAGACACGACCUAGACGCCUACGGGAGGCAGCAGUGGGGAAUCUUGGACAAUGGGCGCAAGCCUGAUCUAGCCAUGCCGCGUGAGCGAUGAAGGCCUUAGGGUUGUAAAGCUCUUUCGUGGGGGAAGAUAAUGACGGUACCCCAAGAAGAAGCCCCGGCUAACUCCGUGCCAGCCGCCGCCGUAACAC
rnacentral:rRNA from 1 species